AUUGAACGCUGGCGGCAGGCUUAACACAUGCAAGUCGAGCGGAGAUGAGGUGCUUGCACCUUAUCUUAGCGGCGGACGGGUGAGUAAUGCUUAGGAAUCUGCCUAUUAGUGGGGGACAACAUUCCGAAAGGAAUGCUAAUACCGCAUACGUCCUACGGGAGAAAGCAGGGGAUCUUCGGACCUUGCGCUAAUAGAUGAGCCUAAGUCGGAUUAGCUAGUUGGUGGGGUAAAGGCCUACCAAGGCGACGAUCUGUAGCGGGUCUGAGAGGAUGAUCCGCCACACUGGGACUGAGACACGGCCCAGACUCCUACGGGAGGCAGCAGUGGGGAAUAUUGGACAAUGGGGGGAACCCAGAUCCAGCCAUGCCGCGUGUGUGAAGAAGGCCUUAUGGCUGUAAAGCACUUUAAGCGAGGAGGAGGCUUACCUGGUUAAUACCCAGGAUAAGUGGACGUUACUCGCAGAAUAAGCACCGGCUAACUCUGUGCCAGCCGCCGCGGUAAGAC
rnacentral:rRNA from 1 species